rnacentral:lncRNA from 1 species
UCCGCCCGAUCUCAGCCGGCACGCCCGUCAGCGGAGUGGCUCGAUGGAAGCCGCACCCGUGUGGUGAAGACGAAAAAUGAAGCCGGCGAUCCCGUGGUGAAUACCGUGACCGAGACCCUGAUCGAUCUCCACCGGCAUGCCCAGUUUCAGACUGGCGGGAUGCGCCUGGUCCGCCUCUACGGGUGCACUUCGCACAUGAAGGGCGCGUGGGACGGCGCCAACACUUACGUGAAGCACUCCCUCCGCAAGUACCUGCUGACUGAUGAAGCUAAGAACGACCCGGAGAAGGGGAUCAGGACGGCGGAGGAGGCGUGUCAAUGGUGCAGAGAAAGCCUCAACACGGUCAUGGGCAAGCGGAGCUCGAAGAAGUCGCGGCGCUCGGCGACGAAGCUGGACGAGAGGCGAUUUCUUUUCGUCGGGCUCAAGGACAUCGACCGAAGUGGAAACCUGGCGAAGCUCGAGUGGGAGACCAAGGAUCGCGUCCAGGCCUUGCACGAGCUCCACCUCGAGCCCGGCGAGGUUGAUCUGAAAGGACGGGAUCUGGUGUGUCGCUGCCCUCCGUGCCAACAGACUAUGGAGGGACCGUGCAUGUACCAAAAUUGGGUGGGCGCACCUCGGCACAUCAGCAUCCAACUGAAGAAGGUGACGGGCGAUCAGAUGGAGGCACUGCGCGAUCACUGCAAGUGCCGCAGGGGGCGGCGGGACCGAUGUCUGAUCUGCACCCACGUUCAUGAGGUCCACAGCAAACUGCAAUCGGGGAGUGGGCCAGCGUGAUGCGUGCGUGUACGGUCCCGCGCAGGCAUCCGCACUCUCGCUGAGACACUCCCGCGUCCUAUCGGGGCCGGCAUCCGGGCGUAUCGCGCGCCGCGGGCGCCGCUACCCCCGAGCGCCGUGAUCGGGACGCGUGCGGGCCCGGGUCACCCGCAUUGACGCCGUCCUG